ACACAUGCAAGUCGAACGGCAGCAUGAUCUAGCUUGCUAGAUUGAUGGCGAGUGGCGAACGGGUGAGUAAUACAUCGGAACGUGCCCUGUAGUGGGGGAUAACUAGUCGAAAGAUUAGCUAAUACCGCAUACGACCUGAGGGUGAAAGUGGGGGACCGCAAGGCCUCAUGCUAUAGGAGCGGCCGAUGUCUGAUUAGCUAGUUGGUGAGGUAAAGGCUCACCAAGGCGACGAUCAGUAGCUGGUCUGAGAGGACGAUCAGCCACACUGGGACUGAGACACGGCCCAGACUCCUACGGGAGGCAGCAGUGGGGAAUUUUGGACAAUGGGGGCAACCCUGAUCCAGCAAUGCCGCGUGUGUGAAGAAGGCCUUCGGGUUGUAAAGCACUUUUGUCCGGAAAGAAAUCGCACUUACUAAUAUUAGGUGUGGAUGACGGUACCGGAAGAAUAAGGACCGGCUAACUACGUGCCAGCAGCCGCGGUAAUACGUAGGGUCCAAGCGUUAAUCGGAAUUACUGGGCGUAAAGCGUGCGCAGGCGGUUGUGCAAGACCGAUGUGAAAUCCCCGGGCUUAACCUGGGAAUUGCAUUGGUGACUGCACGGCUAGAGUGUGUCAGAGGGGGGUAGAAUUCCACGUGUAGCAGUGAAAUGCGUAGAGAUGUGGAGGAAUACCGAUGGCGAAGCAGCCCCCUGGGAUAACACUGACGCUCAUGCACGAANNNNNGGGAGCAAACAGGAUNAGAUACCCUGGUAGUCCACGCCCUAAACGAUGUCAACUAGUUGUUGGGGAUUCAUUUCUUAGUAACGUAGCUAACGCGUGAAGUUGACCGCCUGGGGAGUACGGUCGCAAGAUUAAAACUCAAAGGAAUUGACGGGGACCCGCACAAGCGGUGGAUGAUGUGGAUUAAUUCGAUGCAACGCGAAAAACCUUACCUACCCUUGACAUGCCACUAACGAAGCAGAGAUGCAUUAGGUGCUCGAAAGAGAAAGUGGACACAGGUGCUGCAUGGCUGUCGUCAGCUCGUGUCGUGAGAUGUUGGGUUAAGUCCCGCAACGAGCGCAACCCUUGUCUCUAGUUGCUACGAAAGGGCACUCUAGAGAGACUGCCGGUGACAAACCGGAGGAAGGUGGGGAUGACGUCAAGUCCUCAUGGCCCUUAUGGGUAGGGCUUCACACGUCAUACAAUGGUGCAUACAGAGGGUUGCCAAGCCGCGAGGUGGAGCUAAUCCCAGAAAAUGCAUCGUAGUCCGGAUCGUAGUCUGCAACUCGACUACGUGAAGCUGGAAUCGCUAGUAAUCGCGGAUCAGCAUGCCGCGGUGAAUACGUUCCCGGGUCUUGUACACACCGCCCGUCACACCAUGGGAGUGGGUUUUGCCAGAAGUAGUUAGCCUAACCGCAAGGGGGGCGAUUACCACGGCAGGGUUCAUGACUGGGGUGAAGUCG
rnacentral:rRNA from 1 species